rnacentral:lncRNA from 1 species
GGAAGAUAGAUGUUGAGAAUUCACAGCAAUUGCCAGCAUUGCCACUUUGAGGAGUCCACUCUCCUGAGGACAUGGGCCAGAGAGACUUCAGUGAAUGAAAGGUCUCCACCAGCAACCCAUGAACCCUGGUGGGUUAAAAGGAGAAACCAGUUCCCAGCAAAGAAUCCAGAUCCAUUCCAUCUCUGUGAAGCUAAGCUGGGACAGGUGCCCUCGGCUGGUGGGCGUUAAUGACACCCCAAGGUGAGCAACAUUGUCACUGAACAUGCUGUAUUUUAUUUUACUUUA